CGCUCCUUGCUCCGGUUGCAGCGGCGGCCCGAGCGCCCGGGCUGCACACGCAGGCAGUGCCAUUCCCCCCUUCAGGCAACUCAGGGUACUAAGGAUCAGAGCGAGCUUGAAUUUAUAUAAUAAUGCCUCACGCCCAAGAGCUCUCGAGCCACUUCACAAGCAGAGGACUUAGGUUUUCUCCUGUCUUGGAGAGCGGAGGUCACUCCAGUAAGCGCAUCACUCCACUUUGCCUCGUAAUUUCAACCGCCCCUAAAAUAGCAAAGGCGCAAAUUGGACCUUUUCCCUCUUUCGUUGCCAAUUUCCAUUCUCGAACGGAAGCGGGGGCAUUUUCUGAAAAGACUGGCUCUUACGCUCUCUUCUUGCUGGAUUCCCUGCACCGAGCCCAGUGUCUGCAGGAAAGCUUCAGCCAGCAAGGUUUAUAGAAUGAAUGGAGACAUGCCUAAACACUUCAUCACCGUGAGCCCAUGUAAUCCAAGGUGAUGUGAGACCAGGAACCUGAGGCCCAGAGAGGGGGUAAAUAUAGGCAAUAGUUCAAGGCCUGGGAAAGCAGUAGAAGACGGCCCAAGUCCUUGGGCCCCUGCACCCACGUGGGAGACCUGGAAGAAACUCCUGACUCCUGGCUUCGGAUCGGUGCAGCUCCAGCCAUUGCGGCCAUCUGGGGAGGGAACCAGCGGAUGGAAGACCUCUACCUCUCUCUGUAACUCUUUCAAAUAAAUAAAAUAAAUCUUUUAAAAAAUAUAGGCGAUAGCUCACUGGAGGAUAUUUGCUUUUACAAGUCCUUCCUCCACCUCACCUCUGUCAUAUUUGAGGAACAAAGAAAUGAAUGUCUCAUGGUAGAAAUGAUAUAUUCAGGCUCCUCUCUGUGGGAGGAGCAUGGAGAUCACAUAAAGCUCAAAAGAUCCUUCCAAGGUAUAAGAGACUCUCUGCUGAGAAGCAGGGAAUUUUUCCCAUAUGUGUCCCAAGAGCCAUGUGCGCCCCUGGCCAGGCCUGGGAUUUCGCUAAGUGUUUAGGAGGCCUCCUGCAAGUUCUGGACUUGACUGUUACUCUUGGAAGCUGGCUCCUCUCAGAUGCUGAAUAACAAAGUCCCAGUGCUCCAGAAUGUGGCCUUUUGGGGAGAGAUCAGAGUUUGGGAGGAGAAAGAAGAAGAGAACUGACUGAAUUGUCAGGCCUUUGGUUUUGCAUCUCCUUAUUUCUCAGAUCAAGCUGCGUUGCUGCAUGUAUAUAUAUUUGGGUUCAAUGUUUAGAAGAUGAGCAGUGCUUCCGGUUGUCUUCACAGCGUGGUAUGAUUUUCAC